CUACGGGUUGCAGCAGUGAGGAAUUUUGCGCAAUGGGGGAAACCCUGACGCAGCGACGCCGCGUGGACGAUGAAGGCCUUAGGGUUGUAAAGUCCUGUCAGCAGGAAAGAAAUGUGCAUAAGUUAAUACCUUAUGCAUUUGACGGUGCCUGCAAAGGAAGCACCGGCUAACUCCGUGCCAGCAGCCGCGGUAAUACGGAGGGUGCAAGCGUUAAUCGGAAUUACUGGGCGUAAAGGGCGCGUAGGCGGCCCUGUUAGUCAGAUGUGAAAGCCCCCGGCUCAACCGGGGAAGUGCAUCUGAAACUGCAGGGCUUGAAUAUGGGAGAGGAAAGUGGAAUUCCCGGUGUAGAGGUGAAAUUCGUAGAUAUCGGGAGGAACACCAGUGGCGAAGGCGACUUUCUGGACCAAUAUUGACGCUGAGGCGCGAAAGCGUGGGGAGCAAACAGGAUUAGAUACCCCAGUAGUC
rnacentral:rRNA from 1 species